GGGUGAUCUGCCCUGCACUCUGGGAUAAGCCUGGGAAACUGGGUCUAAUACCGGAUAGGACCACACACUUCAUGGUGAGUGGUGCAAAGCUUUUGCGGUGUGGGAUGAGCCCGCGGCCUAUCAGCUUGUUGGUGGGGUAAUGGCCCACCAAGGCGACGACGGGUAGCCGGCCUGAGAGGGUGACCGGCCACACUGGGACUGAGAUACGGCCCAGACUCCUACGGGAGGCAGCAGUGGGGAAUAUUGCACAAUGGGCGCAAGCCUGAUGCAGCGACGCCGCGUGAGGGAUGACGGCCUUCGGGUUGUAAACCUCUUUCAGUAGGGACGAAGCGAAAGUGACGGUACCUACAGAAGAAGGACCGGCCAACUACGUGCCAGCAGCCGCGGUAAUACGUAGGGUCCGAGCGUUGUCCGGAAUUACUGGGCGUAAAGAGCUCGUAGGUGGUUUGUCGCGUUGUUCGUGAAAACUCACAGCUUAACUGUGGGCGUGCGGGCGAUACGGGNNNNNCGGUCGCAAGACUAAAACUCAAAGGAAUUGACGGGGGCCCGCACAAGCGGCGGAGCAUGUGGAUUAAUUCGAUGCAACGCGAAGAACCUUACCUGGGUUUGACAUGCGCAGGACGUAUCUAGAGAUAGGUAUUCCCUUGUGGCCUGCGUGCAGGUGGUGCAUGGCUGUCGUCAGCUCGUGUCGUGAGANNNNNAACCCUUGUCCUAUGUUGCCAGCGGGUAAUGCCGGGGACUCGUAGGAGACUGCCGGGGUCAACUCGGAGGAAGGUGGGGAUGACGUCAAGUCAUCAUGCCCCUUAUGUCCAGGGCUUCACACAUGCUACAAUGGCCAGUACAGAGGGCUGCGAAGCCGCAAGGUGGAGCGAAUCCCUUAAAGCUGGUCUCAGUUCGGAUUGGGGUCUGCAACUCGACCCCAUGAAGUCGGAGUCGCUAGUAAUCGCAGAUCAGCAACGCUGCGGUGAAUACGUUCCCGGGCCUUGUACACACCGCCCGUCACGUCAUGAAAGUCGGUAACACCCGAAGCCAGUGGCCUAACCUUUUGGAGGGAGCUGUCGAAGGUGGGAU
rnacentral:rRNA from 1 species